rnacentral:rRNA from 1 species
ACGCUCGACACCUACGGAGGCAGCAGUGGGGAAUGUUGCACAAUGGGGGAAACCCUGAUGCAGCGACGCCGCGUGAGUGAAGAAGUAUUUCGGUAUGUAAAGCUCUAUCAGCAGGGAAGAAGAUGACGGUACCUGACUAAGAAGCCCCGGCUAACUACGUGUCAGCAGCCGCGGUAAUCUGAGCGGGCUGGCAAGGC